rnacentral:rRNA from 1 species
UACGUAGGGGGCAAGCGUUGUCCGGAAUCAUUGGGCGUAAAGAGCGUGUAGGCGGUUCGGUAAGUCGGCUGUGAAAGUCCAGGGCUCAACCCUGGGAUGCCGGUCGAUACUGCCGGACUAGAGUUCGGAAGAGGCGAGUGGAAUUCCCGGUGUAGCGGUGAAAUGCGCAGAUAUCGGGAGGAACACCUAUGGCGAAGGCAGCUCGCUGGGACGUUACUGACGCUGAGGCAUGAAAGCGUGGGGAGCAAACAGG